GGAGGAAAGCAGGGGAUCGAAAGACCUUGCGCUAAAGGAGCGGCCGAUGUCUGAUUAGCUAGUUGGUGGGGUAAAGGCUUACCAAGGCAACGAUCAGUAGUUGGUCUGAGAGGACGA
rnacentral:rRNA from 1 species